rnacentral:rRNA from 1 species
UGAACGCUGGCGGCAGGCCUAACACAUGCAAGUCGAACGGUAACAGGAAACAGCUUGCUGUUUCGCUGACGAGUGGCGGACGGGUGAGUAAUGUCUGGGAAACUGCCUGAUGGAGGGGGAUAACUACUGGAAACGGUAGCUAAUACCGCAUAACGUCGCAAGACCAAAGAGGGGGACCUUCGGGCCUCUUGCCAUCGGAUGUGCCCAGAUGGGAUUAGCUAGUAGGUGGGGUAACGGCUCACCUAGGCGACGAUCCCUAGCUGGUCUGAGAGGAUGACCAGCCACACUGGAACUGAGACACGGUCCAGACUCCUACGGGAGGCAGCAGUGGGGAAUAUUGCACAAUGGGCGCAAGCCUGAUGCAGCCAUGCCGCGUGUAUGAAGAAGGCCUCGGUUGUAAGUACUUCUAGCGGAGGAGGAGUAAGUAAGUACCUUAGUCUCAUUGACGUUACCGUCGACGAGAAGACGACGCGUAACUACGUCG